rnacentral:sRNA from 1 species
CUGUAGCCAUUUUGGCUCAAG